rnacentral:tRNA from 1 species
GCCCGGGUGGCUUAGCUGGUCAUAGCGCCGCACUCAUAGGGUUCCGAGCUUCGGUGCGGCAACCCACGCCACGUGGUUGUUCGGCAUGUCCGCGAGGCCCGCCGAGCCUCGAACCUGGGACAUGCGGAGAUCGAGGGUUCAAAACCCUCCCCGGGCA